CAUGUAGCUGGUAGGAAAGGGUGGAGCAGAUGUAAGAGCAGAGAUUCUGCCCUCCAUAUGCAGAGGAAGCAAUGUCGUACCAAUAUUCAGGCAGCCUGCGAGGGUGGAGAAAUGCACUGAAUUUCUGUUUUAUUAUAUGCAUGGCACCUGGUCCUAUAUCCUCAAGAGCAGGGGUGUCCAACUUUUUCAAAUGAAGGUCCAUAAACAAUUUGUACAAACUAUGGACACCAUUUGACUCAUUUGGACAAGCCAAUCUGAACUGUCAUUUUGUUCGCAAUCCUUGCAUUGCUUUAUCUUAUCUAUUCCCAUCAUGGAUAAACCCCCAAAAAUCCAAUAUGCUCUUUCAUCUCCCCAGUCAUAAAUGGUUGCAGAGCACAGCAGACAUGCUAUUAGCUGUAGUAAAAAGGCAACAGGUACAGUGCCUAGCAACACUCCGGAAUAGCAGCUUAAAUGGAGAAUGUAUUUUUCCUUCAUGCAAAAAAUAAAUUACCUUUUUUAAAUUGUACGCUAUAA